AUUGCGCUAGGGAUGGCAGCGGCAUCCUUUUUUAUGCGGUAGCAAAAAAAGAUAUAGCGUACAGCCCGACCCUUG
rnacentral:sRNA from 2 species